CUUUGUGAAGUCAAUAAUAUAGGCUUACACCGGUUAAUUGAACACUAACUCAAUCUAUAAAGUGUAGUAGAUGGAAUUCUAAGAAAGGUCAACAUCUCUGCAUCUCGUUCGCUCGGAUAAAGUCUCUCGUUCUACAACUCACUUUCAAGCAGAGAAAGUCUCAUGCACAUACGAGUGAAGUCUCAUUUGUGGAUGAAGAUGGAGUCAAGCUCAGGACAGGGGAUAAGAAUGUGAAAGAU
rnacentral:lncRNA from 1 species